GAGCUAUCGAGAGAACAUCAGAUGUCGCGGUGACGAGAAGUUCUAGAAAAACACAGGUCUCAUUGACAUAGAUGUAGCGCUCUUGGAGGAAUUGUUGGUCAUUCUUCUCAUUCAGAGCUGCUUUACUGCAAACAAUGACUCAAAGGUUUAUGUGUCAGGCAUUACGAACCAUUGUAUUAUAUUGAAUGAGUCUGUUCCUAGUCUGGCAAUCACGUGGUGUGAUGCAGUGAGAGAGGCAGGUUCUGUCAGGCUGGUCCGGACCUCCCGGCGCCUGGCCUGUCACACUGCCCAGGGGAUAAAAGACAACUUGGCUUCGACCAACAAACUGAGCUCUAAAGGAGAAGACAAGCACAGAUGUCCUCCCUUCAAUCUCUCUUCUCAGCUUUCUCACUGCUGUGGAAGAUCUCCCCAGCGUUUUGAGGCUCACCCGGUCAGGAUGAGGUGCCAAGAAGAACAUCUGCAUGGAUGUGCUGACAAAAGCUGGAUGGAUUCAUCUUCUCUCUACAUGUAAGAGGGUGGGACAGCUCUGCAUCUGGCUUUCCCAUACACACAUAAUGACUACUGAAAUGAAUGUUAAAUUAUUUGUUUGUGCUGCUGACUAGUCCAUUACCAUCAAAUCAGUAUCACUGUAGCGCUCAAAUCUCAUUUAUGUUUGUGUAUGUUCAAAUAUAGAGAUGUCGCACUGGGUUGGAUAUCACUGGUUGCUUUAGGAGACAAGCAUCAACAGAAAUCACACAUUUCGACACAUGGAUUGAUGUUUUUUAUGUCAAACAAUGUCAAAUGUCUCUCAAGUAUCUGACCUGAGCCCCAGGUGAGCAGAUAUUUAUAUUCUCGACACUAAGAAAGAUUGCUAUGAUGUACGGUCCCCUUAACUAUUGACACACAAAGUGCAUGUGCUGAACUCCAAUGAUCUCGUCCUUGUUUUUCCUGCGUCUGCUGAGUAUUACCGCACAGCUCAACCAUGUGCAAGAACAGCUGGAUCCUGCUGUGGCCAACGGCUGCUCUCCUUUAUUACGGCCGGGGAAGUGACAUCAGUAGCCCAAGACAACAAUAAAGGAGACGAAAUCACAACAGCCGACUUGUGGGACACAUCAUUGCUGUGAUUUUCUUUUUUCCAACUGAACUCCAAACACACCCAGCAGUUGCAGCUUUAGAGGAUGUCAUAAAUCCAAGAACAUAUGCAUUAGGAAAUAUGAUGUGUUUCACGUCUAGAAAUGACGUUAGCAGACGUGCUCAAGAGAGGUAAUAAAGCAAGACAUUGUCAGCUAUAAAUGCUAAAAGAAGCAUAGGCUUUCCCCACCAGUGACUGAGAAAACCUUCAUCAUAUUUUACAUAUUAUACUGUAUUUAACUGUAUAUUAUUAUAAACUGACUAAAUUGAUCGACUACAGUCAACGGGUCAGUAAUAAUGAACAUUUUUCAAUAGGGUAACAGUAGUUCAGCUAUUUUCAUAUUAGUGUAGCCUUUUCGAGAACUGGCGAAUUUAUCAAUCUAGACACGGUUUGCGCAGUCUAUUGUUUUUUAAAUGUCUGAACUGAGGGAUUUCUUAAACGCACUCAACUACACAUACUCCGUAGUUCUCUUCAUUAAGUGAAUUGAUUCAUCACAAACGGCCCUCUCCGUCAUAACGAAUGUGGCAUGCAGUUCAUUUUAGUGAAUCGAUUCAUCCCAGGUAAGUCAGGUUCAUAUAAAUAAUUUAAAGAUUGUAACUCUAAAUAUAGCCAAGUAGCCUAUUAUCAGAAGAUUAGCUUAGCUGUUGUAACUAGCUUAGUUCAAAUUAAGAUUUGCUUUAAGUUGGGACCGGUUCGUUUAAAGAGUAAUUGCGAAAACGACACCUUGUUUACAGGAGUGUGCUUCUUUGAAUUUUUAUUUCAGCUAAUGCAAUUGCAUACAUGUUAUUUGUGGCUAUACUUCUAGACCUAUUCUGUACAUUACAUUACACCAGAUCUAGUAUUGUAGCAGACUUGUAUGAGUCUGAGCACAUGUGUGAGAGGAAGCCAGGACCUGGCUGACUAUCUCACUCGGGGAUAGUGCCUCUUUUAUGGGGCAGUCUGUGAUUGUCCCUUGUUCCUGUUGUUCUAUUUGUGACUCUGUGGUCGUCUCAAAGGUUUCCCACCAGAUCGGAUUGCUGCAGCGCACAGCCUAGAAAAACUCCAUUCAGGUCCUCACCAGGCCAGCUUCUCCCUCUCUCACCACCCUCUUUCCUGUAACCCUUCCCCAGUCGGGACCCAGCUGGAGAACAAUGCAUCGUUACCUACAGUGCAGUGUGGCUGGGUGAGACAGAAACCAAUCCGCCCCAAAACUGCCUGGGAAUUGGCUCCUCAUGGGACAAAGCAAGCGUGUGUGUGUCCCUAUAUGUGUUUGUGUUUGAGAGAGAGAGUUUGUAUUGAAAGUGUUUAUGCGUAUUUGUAAAGUAAACACACUGCUUUACAAUGACACUGUUGUUGUAUAAGACAGAACUGUAGUUAGUUUUUGCUUUUUAAGCAGCUAAAUCAGUCUGUCUAAAAAAUAUUUAAACAUUUCAAAAACUAGAUACAUUUACUUCAGAAGAAAUUGCAAAAUAUGUUUAAUCUAUUGGUUAAAAUAGGAAGCUCAAUAAAAGGUAGCAGUAAACAAAAAUAAACCAAGCAAAAAAUAAAUAAAUAAAUAAAUAAAAAUAAACUAAAUUAGUGCAGCAGAGUUUACUUUAGCAUGUCAUUAAUAUUAUUAUUACAGAUAUCCUUCCCCUCAAAACUUGACAACUUAUUUUUAUAAUUGACAAUAUCGGUUUUACAAUUGAUUUGUAUAAUUAUUACAAUUUGAUAUAACUGUUUUCCAUGUUAAAAUAUUGUUAAAAUGAUAUUUAUUCCUUUGAUGCAAAGCUGAAUUUUCUACAUCAUUAGUCUUAGUGUAGCAUCAUAAUCUUAAAUGAGC
ensembl:lncRNA